GAUGAACGCUGGCGGCGUGCCUAAUACAUGCAAGUCGAGCGAAGCGGGGACGGGUGAGUAACACGUGGAUAACCUCCUAUAUGAAUGGUAUAACUUCGGGAAACCGGAGCUAUCACGGAUACUUACAUAUGGAUCCGCGCUGCAUUAGCUCGGUGGUAAGUUAACGGCUAACCAAGGCAACGAUGCAUAGCCGACCUGAGAGGGUGAUCGGCCACACUGGAACUGAGACACGGUCCAGACUCCUACGGGAGGCAGCAGUAGGGAAUCUUCCGCAAUGGGCGAAAGCCUGACGGAGCAACGCCGCGUGAGUGAUGAAGGUCUUCGGAUCGUAAAACUCUGUUAGUAGGGAAGCGGUACCUAAUCAGAAAGCCACGGCUAACUACGUGCCAGCAGCCGCGGUAAUUC
rnacentral:rRNA from 1 species